rnacentral:tRNA from 1 species
GGUUUGUGGCUCAGUGGUGGAGAGCUUGCCUGGCACAUGUGAGGCUCUGGGUUCAAUUCCCAGCACCA